GUCGAGAGGUCAGAGCACGCGACUCCCGCACCCGUAGUCCCGGGUUCGAAUCCC
rnacentral:tRNA from 16 species